AACGUAGGACGCAAGCGUUAUCCGGAAUUAUUGGGCGUAAAGAGCUCGUAGGCGGUCUGUCGCGUCUGCUGUGAAAACUCAGGGCUUAACCCUGAGCUUGCAGUGGGUACGGGCAGACUAGAGUGCGGUAGGGGAGACUGGAAUUCCUGGUGUAGCGGUGAAAUGCGCAGAUAUCAGGAGGAACACCGAUGGCGAAGGCAGGUCUCUGGGCCACUACUGACGGCUGAGGCGCGGAAAGACCGGGGGAGCAAACGGG
rnacentral:rRNA from 1 species